rnacentral:rRNA from 1 species
UCCGUAGGUGAACCUGCGGAGGGAUCAUUACACAAAUAUGAAGGCGGGCUGGAACCUCUCGGGGUUACAGCCUUGCUGAAUUAUUCACCCUUGUCUUUUGCGUACUUCUUGUUUCCUUGGUGGGUUCGCCCACCACUAGGACAAACAUAAACCUUUUGUAAUUGCAAUCAGCGUCAGUAACAAAUUAAUAAUUACAACUUUCAACAACGGAUCUCUUGGUUCUGGCAUCGAUGAAGAACGCAGCGAAAUGCGAUAAGUAGUGUGAAUUGCAGAAUUCAGUGAAUCAUCGAAUCUUUGAACGCACAUUGCGCCCUUUGGUAUUCCAAAGGGCAUGCCUGUUCGAGCGUCAUUUGUACCCUCAAGCUUUGCUUGGUGUUGGGCGUCUUGUCUCUAGCUUUGCUGGAGACUCGCCUUAAAGUAAUUGGCAGCCGGCCUACUGGUUUCGGAGCGCAGCACAAGUCGCGACUCUCUAUCAGCAAAGGUCUAGCAUCCAUUAAGCCUUUUUUUCAACUUUUGACCUCGGAUCAGGUAGGGAUACCCGCUGAACUUAAGCAUAUCAAUAAGCGGAGGA